AGUAUGAACACCGCACGUCCUAAGAUCGUUUUCAAACAUGGACAAUGUAGCACUUUCUUCAAAGGAAAUUAUUUGCCUCCCCAAACGAUGCAGUAGCCAUCUCAUUAAGCGUUUGUGCAAUAAGACACAAUCCAACAGGAAGGAGAUGGUAGAAGAGUCUCACUAAGGAACAUGGAGCAGUGAGUGCCUGGCUGAGAAAGACGUCUCCUCUCCACAUUGAGAGCAUCAAGGACUCCAGCGAUUUCCUCUGCCCUUAGAAGAGAGGAAGUAUGGACGUCUGUUUCUGCUAAGGAGACCUUCGUCAAUGAUGAAGUCUGCCCCUCUGAUCAGCUGAUGUCUUUAUUUCUGGAAUGUUCUUCUGAACUCUACAUUAAAUAUU